UACGUAGGGGGCAAGCGUUGUCCGGAAUUAUUGGGCGUAAAGCGCGUGUAGGCGGCUCGAUAAGUCUGCUGUGAAAGUCCAAGGCUCAACCUUGGAAUGCCGGUGGAUACUGUCGAGCUCGAGUCCGGAAGAGGCGAGUGGAAUUCCUGGUGUAGCGGUGAAAUGCGCAGAUAUCAGGAAGAACACCCGUGGCUAAGGCGGCUCUCUAGUACGUGACUGACGCUGAGACGCGAAAGCGUGGGGAGCGAACAGG
rnacentral:rRNA from 1 species